rnacentral:rRNA from 1 species
UACGAAGGGAGCUAGCGUUGUUCGGAAUCACUGGGCGUAAAGCGCACGUAGGCGGAUGUGUCAGUCAGGGGUGAAAUCCCGGAGCUCAACUUCGGAACUGCCUUUGAUACAGCACGUCUUAAGUCCGAUAGAGGUGGGUGGAAUUCCUAGUGUAGAGGUGAAAUUCGUAGAUAUUAGGAAGAACACCAGUGGCGAAGGCGGCUCACUGGCCCGAUACUGACGCUGAGGCACGAAAGCGUGGGGAGCAAACAGG